rnacentral:pre_miRNA from 1 species
UGUGCACCAGUGGGGUCCCUUGGCCUGGUCUGCGGAUUGCGAGAGGUCGCAGGCCGGGCUGAGGGACCCCACUGGUGCACA